CUUCAUCUUCAAUAAUCGACAACCAAGAAACAUCACAGAAAGCUCUCAAUCAUCGACUUUUCUUCUCGUUUUUCAUUUCUUUUCUCUCUCUUUUAUCAUCGGUUUUUCGAUUUUAGGGUUUUUCAUCGUCUGUUAAUAUAGUUCAGGAUUUUGAUUUCAUAGAUAUGUACAAGUCUUUCAUCAUCUGUAGGGUUUUAGUUUUUUCGAUUUUUCAUGUAUGUUGAUUUGAAGAUGAUUUGGUAUCAUUGAAGGAAGAAGAAGAUAACUCAUGGACCCAAUUAGUUUUUUUACACCAUACAAAUCGAGAGAAAAAGGCUUCAAUAAAAAUCAUGGAUCGUCAAAAUGGGAGCUGUAGCAGCUUCAGGGGGAGGUGGUUCUGUAGGGAGUUGAGUAGAUUCUGAAGCAGAGGCUAUGAAGAUGAAUCUGACGAAUCAAAAUCAGAAAAGCGAAUGAUUAAGAUGAUGAAGAAGAUGAGAUUAGUGGAGAGAUGUCCUGCUUAGGUCUGGGGCUUAUACAACAGUGAGAGGAAUGACGCUAAAGGAUUUUAUUCUCUACUUUUAAUCUGGCAUCAGUUGUGUAGCUAUGACAUAUGUUUACGUGAUGGCUCUUUAGGAGAGGAAUGACCAGAACUCUAAUUCAUUCGGUUCUCGGAUUUAUAUUGUUGUUUUGAAUGUUAUGCUGUUUUGCAAGUAUUUCUUUCGCUGCUUCUUAAGUUUCCGGCUUCUCACACUUUGUCAAAAAGGACUAAUCAGUCCUCCUUUCAGUUAUCCAAUAGGAUUUAUGAGAAGCGAUAUUUGUGCGUCGUGGCCUGUUUGAGAGGAUGAGUAACUAUUUGAGACUUGGCCUGUCCAAACUCCAAGACUCGUUGCAUCUAAACAUGCCGCUGAUACACCUCUUCUAACUGGGCAGCGUGUUAUUGAUGCUCUUUUUUCCUCAGUUCUUUGAGGUACUUGUGCCAUUCCUGGAGCAUUUGGUUGUGGAAAGGCAGUCAUCAGUCAAGCUCGUUCUAAGAUGGGUUUGCUGUUUCCCCUUGAUUUAGGUGUUUUAGUUGUUGGAAACUCUGAUCUGAUUUAUUGUUAUGAAGCAUAGUUUCUCUGUUUAUAUGCGUAGUACUCUAAUUCAGAUACUGCGGUUUAUGUUGGUUGUGGAGAAAGAGGAAAUGAGAUAGCUGAUCUGUUUAUACUUUUGUACUUCCAAAUAUUCUCAAGUUUGUUAUUCAAGUUCUGAUGUAACAUUUUUAUUACUUAAUAAUUCAGGUUGUUAUGGAUUUCCCUCAUCUGACCAUGACAUUAGCUGAUGGCCAACUCUUGUAGCUUACACAUCUAACUUGCCUGUGGUUGCUCAAGAGUCCUCUAUUUAUACAGGAAUCACAGUUGCUGAAUACUUCCGAGAUAUGGGUUUUCUUACAAAGUUAUUAUGAUGGCUGAUUUUACAUCUCGAUGGGUAGAGGCUUUGCGUGAAAUUUCAGGUCUGGUAAUCACAACUCUUGGUUAUCUGUGUUAAACUUGCGACCUAUUAUUCAUCAUAUUCAUAUUCUUCUGAUCCUUUCUCUAUUUUUAGAAUUAUUGUGCUUCAGCUUUACAUGUUUAUGAAUUUGAUAUUCAACUCUGCUUCAUCAGACCCUUCCGUCCUUUUUUUAUUUUUUGUUUGCUAUUUGUGGUGUUGGUUCUCGAAAAGAUUCGGAUGAGGCAUUUUGUUCUUGAGCUUCUUAAAGAAAUCCCAUCUCCAUCUAUUUUUCCUUUCCUUGUGCGAGGCUUGCCCAAUUGCAGACUUCGCGAGUUGCCUGGCUCAGCUGACGAUAAUUUUUAUGAGAAGCUUCUAGUACCUGGUCUCAAAGUGGAUGGGCUAGAAUGAGAAUCUUGUUUCCAACCUUUUCCAGUGGUUAGUAAAUUUUCUAUCUGUUGUUACACCUAUGCUGAAAGUGCAUUAUUUGUGAUGUCAUGUCAAUGUUAAGAGUUCAGUCGGGAACAUAGCAUAGGAUAAAUACUCAGCGGGAUCUGCAUUAAUGAAUAACGCGACCAGGAGCUUAAAGUAAAAUUCAUAGAAUAUUUUGGAUUGUUGCUACAUGCACCAAUAUAAUUCUAAUAAAUCUCUUAAAUAUUGAAUUA